UCCGUAGGUGAACCUGCGGAAGGAUCAUAGUUGUGGAUGAGGGAGCGCAGGUCGCUCCCGUUCAACCCAAUCUUCUUUGGACCGGCGUGGUUUGGAGCCUUGUGCACCCCCGUCGAUCAGCCAUACGUACUCUUGGUCAUCUGAACUUCAGUUGAUAUUUCAUAAAUACACAACUGGUAGCAUUGGAUCCCUUGGCACGCCAUUCGAUGAAGACCGUAGCAAAUUGCGAUAAGUGGUGUGAUAUGCGAGUCCAAAACUUAUACGUGAACCAUCGAAUUGUUGAACGCAUUGCAUCGAGCUUUGCCCAAGCACGAUACGCGUUGAUCACCGCGGUUAUGUCUUCAGAAUUUGACUAUUCUGAGCUCGGGACUCAUGGCCCUCCUGGGUCACGCCUCCUAAGAUGAAUUCGCUUCGUUUCACGUCGCGCUCCUUGUUGUGAACUUCAAGGCGUGAUGGUCGGAAUCGGCGAGCGGUCGGGCUGAAACGCCUCAGACCAAACCCGCAUCCCUUCGGGGCUUGCAACACCAAACCACUGCGUGAUCGACGUGGGACGACGGGCUAAACUUAAGCAUAUUAAUCAGCCCAGGAAAAGAAACUAACAAGGAUUCCCCUAGUAACUGCGAGUGAAGAGGGAAGAGCUCAAUGUGUGAAUCUGAUCGGGUCUAAAACCUGGUUCGAAUUGUGCACUAUUGACGCUGGAUCAGCUCAUGAAAGCUUGUGGCGGAUGUCCGAUGAAACACGGCACCAUAGCGGGUCACAGUCCUGUACACGCCUACCAAGCAUUCGAGCCUAUGACCAGUGCUCAUCGAGUCGCGUAGUUUUGUAUUGCUGCGCCAAUCAGGAGGUAGAGCCCUUCUAAAGCUAAAUAUUAUGGCGUGACCGAUAGCAAACAAGUACCGCGAGGGAAAGGUGAAAAGCAACCAUGCAGAAUGGGUUGAAAAAGAAGUGAAAGUGCUACCGGGAUAAGGGCUAUUGAUUGCAAGUGUGGAUCGCAUGUGCUUCAGUGCUAUGCUUACCGCCGUCAUGCAUCGAUUGGGGACUGGGGAGAACAGGGUCGGUGGAGAUUCGGCUCGGUCUCGAGUGUUGUAAUCCGCCGGUCAAUGGAGCCCCCCUCGAUCGGAUAUCAGGUGCAUUGGUUGCGAUCAUUAGCCGCCCGUCUUGAAACACGGACCAAGGAGUGCACCUUGCAUGCGAGUCUAAGGGACUGGAAUCCCAUAGGCGUAGCGAAAGCGACGAGAGCGAAUCCUUUAACCGGGAGGAUGCCCCACCUGCCUUGUGCAAGGCUGAGCAUGUAGGGUGCGACCCGAAAGAUGGUGAACUAUGCCCGGGUAAGGUGAAGCCAGUGGAAACGCUGGUGGAAGCCUGUAGCGGUUCUGACGUGCAGAUCGAUCGUGUAACCUGGGUAUAGGGGCGAAAGACCUAACGAACCGUCUAAUGGCUGGUUCCCCCCGAAGUUUCCCUCAGGAUAGCCGUGUCUAAGUAGUGCCAGUUGCAUGCGGUAGAGCGAAUGAUUAGGUGUCUCGGGGCCUUAAUGGCCUCGGCUCAUUCUCAAACUGCGAAUAGCGUGCGUCCGCGUCGUGUCUUAUCAGCACGCCGGGUUAAUGGCCAGACGCGAGUGGGCUGGUUUUGGUAAGCA
rnacentral:rRNA from 1 species